rnacentral:rRNA from 1 species
UACGUAGGGCGCAAGCGUUGUCCGGAAUUAUUGGGCGUAAAGAGCUCGUAGGCGGCUUGGUAGGUCCGCUGUGAAAACUCGAGGCUCAACCUCGAGAUGUCGGCGGAAACCACUUGGCUAGAGUCCGGAAGAGGAGAGUGGAAUUCCUGGUGUAGCGGUGAAAUGCGCAGAUAUCAGGAAGAACACCUAUGGCGAAGGCAGCUCUCUGGGACGGUACUGACGCUGAGACGCGAAAGCGUGGGGAGCGAACAGG